rnacentral:rRNA from 1 species
AUUGAACGCUGGCGGCAUGCUUUACACAUGCAAGUCGAACGGCAGCGCGGGCUUCGGCCUGGCGGCGAGUGGCGAACGGGUGAGUAAUGCAUCGGAACGUGCCCAGUAGUGGGGGAUAGCCCGGCGAAAGCCGGAUUAAUACCGCAUACGACCUGAGGGUGAAAGCGGGGGACCGAAAGGCCUCGCGCUAUUGGAGCGGCCGAUGUCGGAUUAGCUAGUUGGUGGGGUAAAGGCUUACCAAGGCGACGAUCCGUAGCUGGUCUGAGAGGACGACCAGCCACACUGGGACUGAGACACGGCCCAGACUCCUACGGGAGGCAGCAGUGGGGAAUUUUGGACAAUGGGGGCAACCCUGAUCCAGCCAUGCCGCGUGCGGGAAGAAGGCCUUCGGGUUGUAAACCGCUUUUGUUCGGGAAGAAAUCCUGUGGGCUAAUACCCCGGGGGGAUGACGGUACCGGAAGAAUAAGCACCGGCUAACUACGUG